rnacentral:rRNA from 1 species
AUUGAACGCUGGCGGCAGGCCUAACACAUGCAAGUCGAACGGUAACAGGAAGCAGCUUGCUGCUUUGCUGACGAGUGGCGGACGGGUGAGUAAUGUCUGGGAAACUGCCUGAUGGAGGGGGAUAACUACUGGAAACGGUAGCUAAUACCGCAUAACGUCGCAAGACCAAAGAGGGGGACCUUAGGGCCUCUUGCCAUCGGAUGUGCCCAGAUGGGAUUAGUUAGUAGGUGGGGUAACGGCUCACCUAGGCGACGAUCCCUAUCUGGUCUGAGAGGAGGACCAGCCACACUGGAACUGGAACACGGUCCAGACUCCUACGGAGGGCAGCGGUGUGGAAUAUUGCACAAAGGGCGCAAGCCUGAUGCAGCCAUGCCGCGUGUAUGAAGAAGGCCUUAGGGUUGUAAAGUACUUUCAGCGGGGAGGAAGGGAGUAAAGUUAAUACCUUUGCUCAUUGACGUUACCCGCAGAAGAAGCACCGGCUAACUCCGUG